UACGAAGGGUGCAAGCGUUAAUCGGAAUUACUGGGCGUAAAGCGUGCGUAGGCGGUUUGUUAAGUCUGUUGUGAAAUCCCCGGGCUCAACCUGGGAAUGGCAAUGGAUACUGGCAGGCUAGAGUGUGUCAGAGGAUGGUGGAAUUCCCGGUGUAGCGGUGAAAUGCGUAGAGAUCGGGAGGAACAUCAGCGGCGAAGGCGAGUUCCUGGACAGUAACUGACGCUGAGGCACGAAGGCCAGGGGAGCAAACGGG
rnacentral:rRNA from 1 species